UAAUGUAAUCGAGCACAUUAGCA
rnacentral:misc_RNA from 1 species